GGGCCUGAUGUAUGUGUUUACUUACUAUUUUGCUGUGAGAUUGAGACCCAUUUUGCCCAAGUUGCCUGGAAUCUGGUGGUCUGGGAGGGCAAGCUGAGCAACAUCUUCUCGUAUAUGUAAUAUUGUUGUAGCUUAUCUUUCAAUUGAGUUAGUGACGGGCCAAGCGUUUUUUUCCAAUUAGUUGAUAUCAGGUUUCUAGUGCCAGUGACACCAGUACUAUGAGUUGGUGGUGGGCCGGGUGUGUAUUAGAGUCUGGCAGUAAGAGUAGGCAUGUUAAGACAGAGGGUGUGAAUGAUUUUAGUCCUAAUUGUUUUAACAGUGUGUGCACAUCUUCCCAUAGCAGGCGAAUACCGCAGCAUAACCACUAAAUGUGGAGAAACGUCCCCUCCUACACCCCACACCGCCAACAUUUUGGGGAUACCUCUGGAUAUAUUUUGUGUAGUUUAUGUGGUGUUAGAUACCAUCGGAAUAGUAGCUUUUUGUGGGACUCUAUGUGCGAGUAGCAUUUCGUCCAUUUAGUUAAACCGUUCAGUGCCCUGAGCCAGUUAUCUUCCGAGAUGGCCGUGCCCAAAUCUUUUUCCCACUGGAAUUUACACAGUGGCGGUUUGUCUGGUAGUGUUUCUAGCCACACUUUAUAGCACCUGAGUAUUAUCAGAGGAGGGGAUAAUAAUUUGCGACUUAUGUGGGCGUUGGACGAGGGGAGGCC